rnacentral:rRNA from 1 species
GAUUAACGCUGGCGGCGUGCAUAACACAUGCAAGUCGAACGAUGAAACUCAUUAGAUUUCUUCGGAAUGAAAAUGAAUGGAUUAGUGGCGAACGGGUGAGUAACGCGUGAGUAACCUGCCUUACACAAGGGGAUAGCCUCUGGAAACGGAGAAUAAUACCCUAUGAAACCAGACAAUCGCAUGAUAAUCUGGUCAAAAUGUUUAGUGGUGUAAGAUGGACUUGCGUCUGAUUAGCUAGUUGGUGAGAUAAAAGCUCACCAAGGCAACGAUCAGUAGCCGGCUUGAGAGAGUGUACGGCCACAUUGGGACUGAGACACGGCCCAGACUCCUACGGGAGGCAGCAGUGGGGAAGUUUGCACAAUGGGGGAAACCCUGAUGCAGCGACGCCGCGUGAUUUAGAAGGCCUUCGGGUUGUAAAAAUCUUUUGUAUAGGAAGAAAAUGACAGUACUAUACGAAUAAGGUCCGGCUAAUUACGUG